rnacentral:lncRNA from 1 species
AUUUUUUUUGUAGUGAGGAUACAAAAUUCAGUAAAAUGAAAAUAGAGACAGCAUCAAUAAAGUGUUUAAUCUGCAGAAUUUAUUACCGAAAAUGAACUGAAGAAGAGUUGAACUGAGGCAUUCAUUAUAAAUCAAUUAGAAAAUAAAAUCAAAAUGAAUUGAACAAUGUACAAACUUUGAGCAUUAGUAACUCAAAUUUGGCAACAACAAUCUGUUCUUACAUAAUCCUUGAAGUACAUAAAUUAGGCCAAUCUACUUGCACACUUAGGCCACGAAAGACUAUAGUCAGCCCCCAAAAUCCAAAAUACUAUAAUCAUCUUUGUCCAAAAUACUAGUCAAAAUUUCCAAAAUACUAUCUAACAAGCUUGUACAUGUUAGAACAGAUCUUCAUCAUAAACACCACCAGGGGGAGACAUCAACAGUUGUGUGUAACUGAUAUUUGCUUGAGGCUGUACACCACCAUCCUUCUCCACUCUUACUUGAGGUUGUGCACCAUCAUUUUUCUUUUGUUGUUACCAUGAAAAUUCUAGUAUUUAGUCUAGGAAUGAGUGGUAACAAUAUAUCAUGUAUAGAUGGGAACAUACCUUUGCUGCUUUUUUUUGGAUGAGGCACCUUUAGUUAGUUUGCGCUUCCCCCUGAGUAACUUAUCAAGCCAACCUCUCUUUCUCCUCAAGUUUUUUGAUUGAACCUCUUUUUUCUUGAGCUUUGCGACACUAAGAAACUCACUAGUUAGUUGCACAUUUGGGUCAACAUUUUCUUGGUCAUCACAUGGCUUGUUCGUAGCAUCCAUAGUUGCAUUGAGUUUCUCCUCUAGUUGUGGACCAACGCAAUCAAGUGCAUCUUCUAAUAUCAAACGACACUCAAGAGAGUUGGCUACUUUAGCUGCCAUAGUGUGAAACUUGUGAGACACACCCCUGUACCAAAGUUGAGCUUCAAACUUUGGAUUCUCUACCACAUUCCUUCCUUGUCUAUCUUGUAUGCUUCCAUUGCGUGCUUCUCUAGUCCAUCUCUUUAAGACAUAAUGUGUUGGUAAUGUCUUUAUAUUCAUCAAGUCAAGAACUUUGAGACCAUGUCCACACAAUAUUCCUGUCCUAUAGAACAUUCCACAACUACAUGAAGCUGUUUUGGUCAAAGGAUCACCAAUCACUAUGCGCUCCUCCUCAAAUUCUAAAUGACCAUGCAAACUCCCAAUAGCAACCCCAAAUUUGUUAUUUCCAUCCAACACUCUAGCGCAUGCAGCCAUGGAUCUCUCAUGUUCACUUUGAAAAGAUUCAAAGAUAAUUGGAGUGUAUUCUUUGCUUGCUAGCACCAACAUAGGUGUGUGCAUCAGGAUUCUUGGCAACUUCUUCCUUUGAUCAAAUUCAGAUUGCAAUUCCGUCGUUCUUUUUACCUCCACUGUCCUCUCAAAAUGCAUCAAGAACCGAACAAUAUGAAAAUCUGAUUUCAAAUGGUUUUUCAAUGAAUUGUUGAAGCUCUCACUAAGUUGUGUACUUCUCACUCCCAAACUGAACACAUCUCUCAUAUAACAUUCAGCCCAUUUUUCUUUCAACUUGUAGAUACUAUCUAACCAAGUUUGCUUGUGCACUUUACUUCUCAUGUUGUUAAAUGCCUCUUCAAACUCUACUUUGUCCUCAUAGCCAUACAUGCAUUCACCAAAAUCUGUGAGAAUAUGAGACUCUUCCUCUUCAUCUUCACCGCUGCUUUCACCCUCCUCUUCAUCUUUUUCUCCACCCUUCAAUGGACAUAAAUGCUUAAGAGCAUUUUGCAUUAUAUGAAAGGUGCACAAUCCAUGAUAUGAUUCCGUGAAGACUUUCUCUAUAGCUUUCCCCAUUGCCGCAUCUUGAUCCGUAUAAAUAGUUCUAGGUUGCCUCCCAUUAUGUGUAGCUAGAAAAUUCUCAAAAAGCCAUGUAAAUGAGUCACAUGUUUCAUCAAAUAGCAAGGCUGCACCAAAAAUGGUGGUUUCUCUAAACUGACCGAGUCCAAGAAAAACACCAAAUGGCCUAUAUUCUUUAUUUGUGCCAAAUGUUGUAUCAAAUGUGACAACAUCACCAAAGUGUGCAUAAUCAAGAACCAUUUUAGCAUCAGCCCAGAAUAUGUUGGCUAUAUCUUCCUCACAAUCCAACUGCAAAGAAUAUUGGAAAGAUGGGUUCUCAAUCAUUUUGUCAUGAAAAUACUUCAACAUACUACCGGCUUGACCGAAAGCCAACUCUCUUUGCCGCUUGCUUUGCAAAUAAUUCUUUUGAUCACGGCAAGUGUAGCCGAGAUUAAAUGGUCCACCAACUCGACGACAAGCAAGCUCAUGUGCAGCUUCGGGCAUGAUUCCAGAAUCCUCGGCAGCUUCUAUUUCAAAAGCUUGUAGUACCGAAAUCUUCCUUUGUGAUGCCAUCAAGUGACAUGUUUGUGGCAAUUGAAGGUAAUGAUUGUGUUCCAACACAAGAUCUGUGACUUCGUAAUUCAUUGCUACUCGAUCGAGUGAUAUAAUCAUGCGAGUUUUGCAAUUUGUUCUUGUUUCAGCUCUAACACGCUUUGGCUCAUGAUCGAUUGUUAUCCCUUUCUUUCUUAUACCCUCAUUGGAACAAACAAAUUUGCAUGAAGUCACUUGACCAUCCAUUAUGCUUACAUGUUUGUUUCUCUUCCUCACAUCAAACCCAACACGGCCUCCAUCUGCAACCCAAAAUAGCCAAGCUUCAUCCGAUUUUCUAAACCUCAUGCCAAUUUGAGGCAUCCCCUUGUCAAUUUCCCCCAUUGCAGAACACUUGCAAAUGCACAACACUCACAAUUGCAUAGCACACUAAUCAGCAGAAAUUCUGUAAAAUAAGACAAUAAACACAUCAAUCAAACCUCUGAUUAAUGCAUGACAAUGGAGACAAUAUAGGGUAAAGAAACACACAACCAGAAAUUUUUCCAGCACUAUUUUCAGUAUUGAAGUAACAAUCCAAUGACAUGGCUAAUUUUCAGUACUAAACUAACAAGCAAGCACAAUUUUCAGUUUCGAAAUAUACAUAUACAGAGGACGCACAGGGGACGGACAGAGGACGCACAGGGGAUAACCUGCUCUGUACGGGAGUGGUCGCAGGGGUCGCAGGGGAGAACCUCGGUUGAGGGGACGCGGUCGUCGGAGCUGAGGGCUCGUCGGAGCGGGGCGGGAGGGCGGACGCGGUCGUCGGAGCUGAGGGCUCGUCGGAGCUCGUCGGAGCGGGGCGGGGAUGAGAAGCCGUGGGGCGGAGGGGAUUGCCGGCGCCGUUUAUCCAGUGGCCGCCGCCGGAGAUCCCAUGGCGCCCUUCCCCACGGCGGCGAUGACGGCACAGCUCCACGGCAGUUCCCGCGCGAGAGUCCUUCGCUGUGCGCUUCGUUUCCCGCGGUUUAGGCUGUCUCGCGUGCGAGGAUCGAGCGGACUGGUCCAAUUUUAGGUUGACUCGCUGCAGUCCGUCGGAUGGGGAGUGGAUGGUGGAUCGUGGGCCUCAGGGCACAGCGUGCCCUGCCUUGAGCGGGGCACGGGAUCUCGCAGUAAAAGUGCACACUGUGGAUGCUCUAAAGUUGGCUUUUGUCAGCGAGGAAGCGGGUUUCUCUGCAGGAUCCCGUUUCACUCUGCAAGCAGCAGGUUGGGAUGAGGUGGAGCAUUUGAGUUGACGUGGNNNNNNNNNNNNNNNNNNNNNNNNNNNNNNNNNNNNNNNNNNNNNNNNNNNNNNNNNNNNNNNNNNNNNNNNNNNNNNNNNNNNNNNNNNNNNNNNNNNNNNNNNNNNNNNNNNNNNNNNNNNNNNNNNNNNNNNNNNNNNNNNNNNNNNNNNNNNNNNNNNNNNNNNNNNNNNNNNNNNNNNNNNNNNNNNNNNNNNNNNNNNNNNNNNNNNNNNNNNNNNNNNNNNNNNNNNNNNNNNNNNNNNNNNNNNNNNNNNNNNNNNNNNNNNNNNNNNNNNNNNNNNNNNNNNNNNNNNNNNNNNNNNNNNNNNNNNNNNNNNNNNNNNNNNNNNNNNNNNNNNGUAUAGAUCGAUGCAUUUCCAGUAGUUUGAUCCUCACGAAGGUAUUAGAGCGUCAGUCUUCCCUCGGCGACGGCUUGAUGGCGGCUAAUCGAACAGCGGAGAGCAGGAGGUUGGGAUCUCCCCUAAAAUCCCUCCUGUCUCUCAUUGUUUGUGGUGGCGGUGUAGAUCUCUGACGGUGGUGAUUUGGGGUGGCGGCGAGAGUUCGGGCACAAAUCAACUCGUCCGAGACGGUUGCCGGCGUUACUCGCCCGGUGGUAAAACUCCGGUCUCUGAAGUUGAUCCGUGCGCCACACGAGGCGUUGAGCUCGAGCUGAAGCACAUGUUAGAUUUAAUCCUUGUUACUAUCUCCGUCCUGAUUUAUUGGUCCCCUUCGCAUUUUAUGCUAAAUUUUGACCUUAGAUUUAACUAAAAAAUGUUAAUGCAUGUAACAAAAACUAAUAUCAUUGCAAACUAUGUUUAAAUACGAAUCCAACCAUAUAAUUUUUGGUGACAUGCAUUAUUAUUUUCUUAGUUAAAUCUAUGGUCAAAGUUUGACACAAAAUACUAAAGAGAAUAAUAAAUCAGGACGGAGGUAGUACUUCACUCGAUCUCGAAAAGGAGUUGGGAUGGCGGACACACGCGCAAGGUGCAGAUCACGGUGGUCCGUUUGGAAGAAAAUGUGUCUGAAUUGAGGGCAGAGUUAGCAGAUCUCAAAGAACUCAAGCAAGAAGUGACGCCACUGCGAGCAGAAAUGGUCACAAUGCCACGAGUAGAAUCAAAAUUGCGAGACAUGAAUGCAGAGAUUCAAAAACCCUGCAGCUAAUUUGGCAAAACAUGACAGUGAACAGUCAGAAAACAGAGAUAGUCACACCAGUAAUUCCUCAAGUGAGCAAUGGAAAUGCAGGAACUGGAGCACCUACACACAGUCGACGCAAGUAAAAGAAAGUAGGUCUGGAUCACUGGAUGAACAAGCCCUAGUUCAGUAAUCGAGCAUCAUGUAUAAGUACAACAUGUUCAAAGGCGUCAAUGUCACCCUAGUUUGCAACAUAUGCUGCAUAUACAAAACCCUGGGUGUAUUUGCAAGCCUGGGGAUAUACAAAGAAGCAAUGUAAAUAUUCACAACCCUGUUAAUCUGUUACAUCCGCCUCCGAUCUGUAUCUGCCAAUUGGUCUCACAUCUAAGCUUCGGAAGUCGCUUGGAACUAGGCCGCAAACCUAUUUCCUAGAGUGCUACAGGCUUAUACAACAUUGGAGAUAGAAACUGGCCCCCAACGAACAGCAGCAAAACUGACCCUGAUGCGCUCCUGAAGAAAUAUCACUCGAUGUCCGUGACUUCAGCCUCAACAUCUACAAUCGUCCCAGAACCAGAAGGUGCUUUUCCUGCAUACAUCAGGGAACAUUGUGAUCAUUAGUUAACAUGCACAAAAGGUGUGGUGAAGGAACAAUUUUCUUGAAAAGCCUCGGCCGUCUAAUUUAAAUAACAGCUGAAAGCCAAAUCAUCUACAUGACCUAUGCUGAGUGCAUCCCAUCAUAUGCAGAAUGAUACAGCCCGACUUCAUUCGCUGAUGAUGUAUGGUCUUUGUCAGCCUUAGCAAUCAUUCUUAACCCGUGACAUGUUGUAAAAAGUAUUUGACAUGAAUAUCUGUCAUUUAUAUCUGAUCUUUCAUUGUUCACCCAACCUAAUCUAGAAAUUAUUGUGUAUGACAUGACAUAAGGGGAUCACCUCGUUUAGUUUAAUUCAUAUGGAUAAAAUAUUAAAUGGGCAAAUGAAAUACAGACAGUAGGAAGACUGUAGCUUGCUAAUACCAUUUGAUCCACGGUUGAAUAACUCAUUGAAGGCUUGUUGUGCUUUUGUAGGGGUCCUUCCAGAUGAAAAGCUAGCAGCUUCUCUGACAAACUUAUCGCCCUGAACUGCAGCAUGUACAAUGAUGAUUUAGCUCCAACGAUAGUCUCAUCUAGACAAGCACAUGAGAAAUGCUAAACAGAGGAGAGAAAAAAUAAAAAAGGAGUAAAGAAAACUAUGUUUCAUGGGACAUUCAAGCCAUGGAUAAAUUCCAUGAUUCUCGAUUUCCAUUUGGCUGAUACCAUCAACAAUGCUCAUGAUUUUCUUUUCAGUGGCGAAUGUGCCAUACCCAUGUAGAGCUUGAGAAGUUUUUGACCUUAAAAUCAAGACAACUCUGUUCUGAUACGGUGAUACCAGAUGUAUCAUCAGACAUGCAUGUUCUAAAACCACUCAACACAAGCUUAACUCUAUCUAUUCCCAGGCUCCCAGCACAGAACAAUCAGGACCAUGCAAAUGCUUAAAGGGCAGAAAAUGUAACAUGGAAUUAAGUGCACAGAUGUUUUAAGGACUAAGCAAAAUAUAAUUUGGUUGUACAACUUCUAGCUGGACAGUGGAGCUCGCAUAUCUAACUGAAGGUCUGAAAAUACCAGUGCCAUUAAAGAUUGCAUAGCUACAGUCCACCAGCUAAAUUUCCAGUAGCAGAUUUUCUAGUAUGGCAAGACCAAACACGAGCAGCCAGGAGGUAGUUCUUCUGAGACCUUUAUUCUGUUAGCAAACUGGAUAUGGGAAACACAAGUUCUGCUUACCAGAGAAAGGUUGAGUGCAAUAAGGACAGAAUUGUGGACCAUUCUUCACAGAUGUCCUAUUGGACAAGCAAACUAAUCAAAGUUAACUUAAGUUACAAAAUUAUGCAAGCUUAACAUAAAUUUUCUUAUGCUUACUUCAGUAUCCGGAAGCUUUUUCCACAGUUGGGACACUGCAACAAAAGAAACAUGUUUGACAAUGUUAAACUUGCGCAAACAAACAACAAAGUCUUUGCCAUUUUAUUUAGGAAGAACAACAAAUAACGGUAGGUACUAAAACUAACAGACAUUUACCCUCGUCAUCUAUAUUUAAGAAACUAAAAGUACAGUAGUAGGAAAUCCGUGGAAACCACAUUACCAAACACCAAAUUUAUGUUCGGACUUACAUCGCUCUGAAGUAUAUUUCGUUGUGCAAAGAAUAUGAGCGCACCGAGACCCACAAUAGGCAGAAGUACCGUGAGGAGCUGUUAUCAAAGAGAGAUGUACAAAGCUAAAGUUAAGUUGCCAAAGUAAUGUAACACCAUGGAUCAAAAUUGAUAGACAAGACAAGAUAAGAUAUCCCUUUAUGCUAAUAUUCUAAAUCCAAACUCUUAGUUGCAUAAGCUUAUCCAUGCUGCUGCCCAGAGCGAACUAAAUCAAAGUUGAUGGUUUCCAGUUUACAGAUUACUGUGGAAUCAGAAUGCUCAAUUUGCUGCAGCAACAUACAGUAUAAGGUAGCAUUCAGUUGACAGACUAGCAACCAAUGGUAAUACAGCUUAUACCAAGUAACAGUACUAGGUGAAAAAUAAUGCAAACUGUCUGGAAAAUUGGGGGAAGCUAGUUUGGCACAAUUUACAAAAUAAUUGGUCGAUUUCAGAGAUUAAGCUGUCUAUUGCACCAGAAUCAUAUGUUUUCUGAACCUUAUCCAGUUUCUCCAUUCAGAUAUCAACCAAGCUAGUCAACGAGACAGCAAACUAGUCAUAAACUAGUAGUAUCCAUUUACAAGUUAAAUCAUUUCAGGAGAAGGAGGCUCGUACCCAGAGCGAGACGAUGGCGUCGAGCAGCCACCGGAACUGGCCGCUCACCACGAGGUAGGCCACGAGGGCGACGAAGGCGAGGUUCGCCACGACCCGGCCGCGGCCGGUCGACCCCUGCCGCCGCCCGCCGCCAAAGAAGGGGCCUUUCCCGGCCCCGGCCACGCCAAGGCGCCGCCCGCCCGCCAUUCUCCGCGCCAAGGUGCCGCCCCUCUCCGGGAGCUCGCGCCGCAAGAACGGCUUCGCCAUGGAGAAGGCCCCAUCUGGGUACCUCGGAGAUAUCUUCCUGGCCCUUGGGUGGAGGAGAGCGUGCGAGCAGCAGCAGAGCGGGGACGGAGUGAGGAGAGCGUGCUGGAGCGUGGCCAUGGAGGGGAAAGGGGGAUUGGAGAAGAGUCUCCAAGAAAUCUUUGGGCUCUUCUUGCCUUCCGUUCUUGUAAUUUCGAUUUUGUUUUUGUUUUUUUGGUUGGGUUUGAUCUUUCUUUCCACAAUUUUUGUGGUGAAAUUGAAGGGGAUUUGUGUGAGUAAUCUUCCACGUACGGCAACCUGAAAGAUAGGAGUUGAACUGAACACAUAGGCAGAGGCAGUGCUUUAACUCAACACCGACAGUGACAACCCAACAAGAUUUAAAUUAAAAGAAAUGAAAAAGGCUGCAAAAUAGAAUUAAAUUGCAAUACAUAGGGAUAGUGCAAUGUCCAUAUUUGAUAGGAAAAAAAUUAUGCAAAUUCUCAGUUACAUCAUAUGUUACACAAUAUUGGCCAACCUCCUCGUUGAUGAACGUCGAAUUCUUAUACCUUUCUGUAAUUUUCACCAGUGGCGGUGGCAUUACAACGAUUUAAUUGAUGACUUUAGGGUUUUUAGAUUCUGGACUGUUGUGUGCAGAGGCCGAGAAUACAUUCACUUUCUUUUUAAUUCACUUGAAAAUAAUCGCUGGGCGGAAACAAUGGACUGGGUAGGCAUAUCAAGGCGGCAAUAGUGACGGAGGAUCAAUAAGCUAUGUGACGCCGGAGCCAACAAGACAAACUAGGUGAUGACAUUCAUGGUUGUGUGUUGACAAUGACAACAGAGAAGAGCUAAAGCUAAGGACUCCUUUGAUUUAAAGGUUUUUCAUAGGAAAUCAGGAGGUUUAGAAUCUUUAGAAUUUGUCCGUGUGAUGGUUGUUUGAUUCGUAGCAUUGAAGCCUGUAGGAAUUUUUCCUAAAGAUUUCUUUGUACUACUUCCCGUAAGAUUUCUAGCAUCCGCUCAAACCUCUAUGCAAGAAUCCUUUGUUUUGCCUAUGAUGCAAUUAAACAACCCAAAAUGUUAUAGGAUUCAGCCAUGCCAUUCUAAUCAUAUGUUUUCUCUAUUCCCUGGAUGAGUAACAUAUUGGCUUUCCUAGUUAAAUUUCCUGAUAAUGAAUGAUACACAUUUUUAUUGAAGAGUUAGUUCCAUUUUUUAUCUCCAUGAUUUAUCACUUGUGAUAGAAUUGACCCCAAUUUUAGAAAAUCAUCAAUUUAUACCCCCAUUUAUCAUAAUGUGCCAUAUUUUACCCCUUUGUAUUUUCAACUAAGUAAAAAUAUAAUAUUUUUUAUUUUAUAAUCUACUUAUGUCACCUUACUGUAUGUGCUCUGAGAGAGAUGCACAGACGACGAUGCAGAGAAAGCAACAAUAUAGAUUCACAUAGAAGUACUCCCAUACAUAGCCAAUGAAAUGAAGUAUAAUAGUAAAAAAUACAAUAAAGCAAUGCUGUUGCAAGCGCUUCGCCAUUAAAGAAAUUAGUUUUACUGGUACAAAAUUGAUCGGCGGUAUGGGUUGCGAACGUUAAUUGUCAUUUGAAAUAUGUGCAAAUACAUCGAAUAUUAUUUUUCGAGCCCAGGCUCAUCUGCACCCGGUGAAGAGAAAAUUCACAAAAACUCAAAAAAAUUGAUUUUUUUGCACGGAAGAUAAUUUGGUGCAUAAGAUGCGCUCCAAAAUUGAGAUCAUUUAAACAUAUGAGUAGCUCUCAGCAAAAAAGAUAAACUGCGUCAGAACAAUACAUGAACAGUAAAUUUCUUCACACCCCAAAUUUGUUUUUUUUUUUCCGAGAGCUACUCCGAUGUCCAAAUGAUCUGAAAUUUGGAGCGCACCUCACGCAUCAAAUUAUUUCCCAUGCAAAUAUAUUCAGAUUUUUUUUGAAUUUUUCUAACAAUUUUUUAUUUAUUUUCUGUUCAUCGCGGGUGCAGCUGAGCCUGAACACCGAAACACCACAUCCCAAAUACAUGGCUUAUUAAUAUCUUUUCAUAAAUAGUCACUCCGUUUAUAAACAUCAGAUGUUUUGGACAUUUCAAUAUAGCCUACAUACAAACUGAAAUAGGUGAAGAAAUAUACUAAAACAUAUCUAUAUACAUUCGAUUCACAAAAAUUAGAACAUCUUAUAUUUGUGAACGGAUGGAGUAACAUCUGACUGACAGUAAUAAUAUAACAACUCAGGUGUGAAUUUAAGUACAUGGAAGAAUAUAAUGUACUAUUUGUUUUUGCAAAUAUGUUCUCAUUUUUACUACAAAGUCACGGGUAAAUGCCAUGAUUGAUGUAUUAAUUAAGCAAAAGAUGAUUCCUAGGUUAAUUAUGAAUAGGGGGGAAAUUGUACAAAUGCUCAAACAGACGUUCAUGACAUUUCGUUCCAGAAAGAUGAAGGCCUCCCCAGCUCAUUGCCUCCUCCCGUCGCAUGAGGCAUGAGGUUCAUCUCCCAUGGCUUUCUUUGAUACACAUGAAGUGUUUGAUGUAACUAGCACAAUGCCCAUACGUUGCUACGGAACCAUAACAAAAAGGCGAUGAGAUACUACUAGCUUAGAAGAUUAUCAAAAGAUAAUAGUAUCUUAUGGCUAUUGCAAAGUUUAUAAUUAAAAAGAGAGCAUAAAAAAAGGGUUAUGUUUUAGUCAUUGAUGAAUUUUAAGAGACCAUUAGUGAGAUAAUAUCUUAAAUUUUAAAGCAUAGUAGAAUGUGCAUGACUAAUUUGAAUGCACAAGAUCGUGGAUUUGGUAGGAGGAUAACGUCGAUGACCGCGUUGAAAUUGCGAUGUGUUCGCUCUCUUCUGCUAUGCUAUAGAACUGGAAGAAUUUGUUGGGCAGAGAAAUUAAAAUCAAGAUCAUGAUUUUGAAUUGGAGUCAUAUGCAUUUAUAAUUAGUGUUUUUAAGAGCGUUAUUCUCAUAUUAGGGUAGCAGUGUAUUUGUUUAUUUGGAGUAGGUCUCAUGCCGAGUGAAAAUAAUAUUUGUUUAUUAUAUCUUUUGUAAGUUUGCUAGUCUCACAUGUGUGUACAAGUGCAUUGGUUUACUUUGUAUGGUCCCAAAUGUGAAUUCAUCACUAUAACUCCAACCAUUAUAAGUAGGAUGUUAUAUCUUUUGUAAGUUUGCUAGUCUCACAUGUGUGUAGAAGUGCAUUCGUUUAUUUGAAUGGUCCCAUAUGUGAACUCACCACCAAUUCCAACCUUUAUAAGUAGGAAAGAAGUUAGAGAGAGAGGAGGAGGAGGAAGAAGAAGAACAAGUCAACAUUCCCAUGUGGCAGUUUUUUUCUUUCAACUCGUCCUGACAGGCGGGCCUGUCUAAUUAGUGACGUCAUCAAAAUUAUUAGGGUCAGUGUUUUUGUCAUUGUCAAUUUUUUAGUAUGAUGAUUUUUGUAAAGAAUUGUAGAGUGAUGAUUUUUUGCUAAUGACAUGGCUAUUGUGAUGGUUCUACGCAUUUAACUCCAUCCAUAGGUAUGAUCUGCAGUUGAAGACCUAGAAUAAAACGCACAACUCAAUCAAAUACCAUCUCCACUAUUGUGUUGUUCCAAUUGCAGCCACUCAAGGAAAAAAUGUGUUAAGAUCCCGACCUAAUAUAAUUCAAAAUACAAAUAGUAGCUUCAGCUGUUCUUCACUAAUUUCAUUAAUAGUCCAAAGAAAAAUACUCUUGGUGCUGCUUGACUCAACCCGUUCGCGAAGUGCCACUGCCCACGAACCAAAAAAAAUAUCAAGAGAAAUUAUGCUGGAUGAUAAAAGAAAAGGAGGACAUUGGGAGUUGCUUUGGUGCCAAGCUACCUCAAAACACAGUAGAUGCAGAGCAUUUGCAGGAAAAAAAAACUGUCUAUCUCUGAAUACCUGAACAAGGCACAGUUAACGUUGGUUCCGUUAUCCAACAUAGGCAUGUGGGCCAGUGUGAACAUUUCUACUCCCUCCGUUCCUAAAUAUAAGUCUUUUUAGAGAUUCCACUAUGAAUUACAUACGGAGCAAAAUGAGUGAAUCUACACUCUAAAAUAUGUCUAUAUACAUCCGUAUGUAGUUUGUAGUGGAAUAUCUAAAAAGACAUACAUUUAGGAACGGAGGGAGUAGUUAGUUAACUACUCCCUCCGUUCCUAAAUAUAAGUCUUUGUAGAGAUUCCACUAUAGACUACAUACGGAGCAAAAUGAGUGAAUCUACACUUAAAAUGCAUCUACAUACAUCUGUAUGUGGUCCAUAGUGAUAUCUUUACAAAGACUUAUAUUUAGGAACGGAGGGAGUACUACUACUACACUAAUGUACACUCUGGCCGGCAAGAUGCAUAUAUGGAUGGUUUAAUUAGCCUGAACACUUAGUUACCAAUGGUCUUACCCCGCAAAAAAAAGUUACCAAUGGUCUUAAACUCUUAAUCAGCUAGAUGAUACCCCGCGCGUUGCUGCGGCGGUAAUCAUUUGCAAUAUGCUUCAAUUAGAUUUGAUUGUGUGGAAUAUAACAUUUAAAUUAAUUAAAAUUUGAUCAAAAUAAAAAUAAACAUGAAUUAUUAUAUUUGAUCAUGUAUAGUUGUAAAAUAUUUAUUGAAAAUAAGUACUCCCUCUGUCCCAUAAUAUAAAAACACUUUUGAGUGGUGUAAAAAACACCUUUAUAUUAUGGGACGGAGGGAGUAGAAUAAUAGAAUGAAAAAUAUUUUCUCAUGCAUGGUUGCAUAUGGUGUUGGGUCUUUUUCAUGCAUGGUUGCAUGUUGAGGUGAGUCUUAUUCCAUGCAUAAUAUUAUGAUGAUGUGGCAUGCUUAUAUGUUGAGAUAAAUAAGAUAAUGGGGGUGAACUUCAUAGAUAUAUAUAGGAUUCGCUGGCUUAAGACACGCAACGCUAGUUGCCUGUCUUGUUCUCUCCGGCGCCUGCGUGUAUGGUUAUUGGUUACUCCACUUGUUUGGAUUCUCCCAACGGUAACUCCAAAGACAGACACAAACAAGAGAUGGAGUGCAGAAAACAAGGAGAAUGAUGAUGUCCUAAAUAUGGUGUCCCUGUUCUUAAUUUGCUUGCACCGUGUCACAACUAGUACCCACCAAAUUGUUUGGUCAUUUUCCCCAACCAACUUCUCUCCACUCCCAGCACACAUACACAAACAAAGAGACCGAUGGAGCGAAGAGACCGGCAAUAGAGAGGCUCGUGGUCUAUGGCGCAUGUGGUGAGCGCCUCGCUAGGCGCGUUGGGUCCCUUGCUGGUGAAGCUUACCGGCCUGCUUGCCGACGAGUAUGGCCGCCUCAAAAGCGUUCGGCGUCAGAUCAUGCCACUUAGAUAUGAGCUAGCCAGUAUGGAAGCUGCGGUCAGGAAGUAUUCUAUGCUAGAAGAUCCAGAUAUCCAGGUCAAGCAAUGGAUCUCCAUGGUGAGAGAGUUGGCAUACGAUAUAGAGGAUUGCAUAGAUAUUUUCAUUUACCGGAUCGGCAAUGGUGGACGUCAGAGCGGCUUCAAGGACUUCUUCUGCAAUACCACUCGCCAACUAAAGGCCCUUGGAGCACGACGUGGAAUCGCCGACCAAAUCGAUGAACUCAAGGCUCGGAUCAGGCAUGUGAAAGAGCUCAAGAACAGUUACAAUCUGGAUGCUACUACUUGUAGCAUGUCUAGCCAUAUAGCCGUUGAUCCACGACUAUGUGCUAUUUUUGCCGAGGAGACAAAUCUUGUGGGCAUUGAUGGUCCAAGAGAUGAUCUUGCCAAAUGGAUAGUGGACGAGAAAGUCAUACAUAGUAGGGUGUUGUCUAUUGUUGGGUUUGGUGGAUUAGGGAAGACAACAUUAGCCAAUGAGGUUUAUCACAAGGUUCAAGGGCAUUUUGAUUGCCGGGCUUUUGUAUCAAUCUCACAGAAGCCAAACAUAAGAAAAAUUAUCAACGAUCUAAUCUACAAAUUGCCUCACCCAGACGGGUUCACAAAUAAUAGCGACAUUUGGGAUGAAAUUACAUCUAUUGCAAAGCUUAGAGAGCUACUGCAAGAUAAGAGGUAAUUGAACUCCUUGUUUUCCUACAAAACAUGACUCGUGCAUAUUUCUCUAACAUUUCUGCAUAUAUUAUCUACAGUGUGGUCAUGAUACACAUUUACAAUAAACUAGAUAUAAUAACAUAACAAAUAUUCGUGAUACACUUAACUAACUAGAAGAGUUUACGAUGCAUUUACAAUGUUGGAGUUUCAUAUAUAACUUCCAUUGGUUUCUUCCAUAUCUCUUUUGCAAUUAAUUAAUCCAUUUAUGAUUAUUUCAACAGACAAUGUUGGAGUUUCAUGGCCCAUUUACUAUAUCUUCUAUUAUAAUUUCAUAAAUACUCAACGAUGUAUUGUGACAUAGUGUUGCCAAAUCAUAAAUAGUGAAGAGAUUUUGCUUUUGAUUGGGUAACUAGAGUAAGUUUCCUUUAGGUACAAAAUUCAAUACUACACAAGUAGAAUAAACUCUAUAUGUAAACUUAAGUAAUGAGCAUGAUACAUAUAAACAAUAAGCAUAAUAAACUUGAUUUAAUUUGCUAGUUGAGUACAUGAAGCACACAAAAUGUUCCGGUUUGAUGGUCUAUUUAUGGCAUGCAAGAUUUGCACCUUUUAGCUGAAUUUCUUAUCAUAAUUUAUUGGUGUAUAAUAUUUAUUACUAUGUGCUAGGUAUCUUAUCAUAAUUGAUGAUUUAUGGUGUACACAAGCAUGGAGCACUAUCAAGUGUGCUUUACCAGAGAAUAAUUGUUCUAGUAGAAUAAUAGCUACUACACGCAUUAGAGAUGUAGCAAGGUCAUGUUGUCCAAGCUAUUAUGACUGUGUGUAUGACAUGGAAGCCCUAAGUGAUCUGCACUCCGAAAUAUUGUUCCACAAAAGAACUUUUGGCUCUGAGAACUGUUGCCCAAACACGUUGAAGGAAGUUUCAGAUAAAAUCCUCAAAAAAUGUGGAGGCUUACCAUUGGCAAUUAUAACUAUCUCUAGUUUACUAGCAAACAAACCAGUUGUCAAGGUAGAGUGGGAGAAGGUUAAUAAGUCAAUCGGUUCUACUUUGGAAAAUAACAAGAGCCAAGAGGGAAUGAAUAGCAUAUUAUGCCUUAGUUAUAAUGAUCUUUCACCUAAUCUCAAGACAUGUUUGUUGUAUUUAAGUGUUUUCCCCGAGGAUUAUACUAUUGAUAGGGACAAGCUAGUGAGGCGAUGGAUAGCAGAAGGCUUUAUCUCUGAAGAGUGUGGACAAUGUCAGCAAGAGGUCGCUGAGAACUACUUCUAUGAGCUCAUCAAUAAAAGCUUGGUUCAACCAGUGUACAUUGGUUAUGAUGGCAAAGCUAGUACCUGCCGAGUCCAUGACAUGAUGCUUGAUAUUAUCAUUUCAAAAUCGGUUGAAGAUAAUUUCAUUAUUGUUGUUGAUGGAGAAGGAGGACAAACGUGCUUGCCAAAUCAUCAUGGUUUUAUUCGAAGACUAUCCAUCCAACACAUUGGCAGGGAGCUUUCUUAUGCAUUGGCAUGUAAAGAUCUACGCCAUGUUCGAUCUCUAACUGCAACGUCGUCAGAUUGCAUCAAACACUUGCCUAGCCUUGUUGAAUUUGAAGCUUUGCGUGUACUAGAUUUUGAGGAUUGUGAGGGUUUGGACGAGUACGAUAUGCACAAUAUGGACAAAUUGUUCAACCUAAAAUACCUCAGCUAUAGGUGCACGGGCAUAUCAAAGCUACCAUCAGGGAUUGUAAUGUUAGGUGAGCUAGAGACCCUAGAUCUUAGGGAUACAUGUGUGCAAGAGUUGUCAUCUGGAAUAGUUCAGCUCAUUAAACUACAACACCUACUUGUUGCAGUGGGAACUAAGAUACCAAAUGGAAUUGGAGUAAUGAGGAACUUGAGAGUCAUUUUGGGCUUUAAUAUUACCCGUAGCCCAGUAGCUGCAGUGGAGGAUCUCGGGGACCUAACAAGGUUGUCUGAACUUGACAUAUAUUUAGAUGGUGGAGGACCCGAGGAGUACAAAAGACUUGAACAAAUGUUACUUUCCUCACUAUGCAAGCUUAGCGACGGUAAACUCAUGUCUUUACGGAUAACUAGGUAUGGUGGUUCCCUUGAAUUCUUGGAUUCUUGGUCUCCAUUGCCGUUUUCCCUUCAAAUAUUUUAUAUGUCCAGCGAUUGCUAUUUCGUGAAUGUUCCAAAAUGGAUUGCACCAACACUCAACAGCCUUACUUACCUGGACAUUAAUUUAACCGAAUUAACGGAGAAGGGUCUACUCGCUGUUGGGGAGCUCCCAACCUUACUUUGCCUAGAACUGUGGUUGAAGACAGGACCAAAAGAUAGGCUAAUUAUAGUCAAAGACAUGGGAUUCCCAAGUCUGAGGGAGUUCAGCAUCAGCGGGGAAGCCGAGGCAUACGUAACGUUCAUGAAAGGCGCUAUGCCCAGGCUUGAGAAGCUUGGUAUUCCAUGCCUUGUGUCAGUGGCAACUACCUAUGACUUCUACAUAGGCAUUGAGCAUCUCACUUGUCUGAAACAAGUAAUAGUGGUGCUUGGCACAGAUGGUUGCGCACCUUCCGAGAGCAAGGCUGCAGCUGCUGCGAUCAGGAACGAAGCAGUAGUCAACCUCAACCAUCCUACAAUUACUAUUUUUGGGGAACCAAGAGACUCAAAGUGACCAGGAAAAAUGCAAGGAUGAAGUGACACUGAUGGGAACCAAGAGGUAAGUAAUACUAAUAGUACAUAAUUUGAUCUUGCAUCAUGCAUCGUUCUAAAACAUGGCUUUAUUUUCUCCAACAAUAUGAUUUCCUUUUAAGUUACCAAAGCUUUUGAAAGCAUCUCAAAUACAUGUUGCAUGUACUUCUUAUUCUACUAGGUGAAGGUGAUGUGGAGCUUAUUAGCUAGCUUGCUUGAGAUUAAUGUCACCUACAUCCAAAUUACAAGAUGAAAACUACAAGCUCAAACAGGGCGAGACCCAAAAGAGUGCUUCAAUUUCUACUUGCUACUCCCUCCGUCCCAUAAUAUAAGAGCGUUUUUGAUACUACACUAGUGUCAAAAAGUUCUUAUAUUAUGGGACGGAGGGAGUACAUAGUACUACAUGGUGUGUUUGUCAUUCCCAUUGGUUACUUUUCAUGACUGAGACUGAGUUAAUUGCACAGAAGUACCACAAUUCGGGCAUCACAUGCAGAUUGGUACCACGAUUGCUAAUCUUUGCAUGUCAGUACCAUGAUUGCUCCAGGUUUUUUCAAAUAAGGCUAAAACGCGUAUUUAUACGUAUUGACGCUCGAUCUGACAGCUCGGGCCCACCCGUCAGGUGCCACGCUGGCCAAUCGGCGCGUGCCCGCGCGCUGACUAGGACGAGCCGGUUCGAACCCAGUCCGGUCGCACCAGCUCGCCCCCGCCGCACCAUUCCCCUCCCCUCCUCCUCUCCUCACUCGUUUCCUCCGUCGCCGCCGCCUGCGUCCCGACUGCCGGCCGCCGCACCGCCCCGCCGACGCCAUGGUUUUGGAAGACGAAAGCAGCGACGACCAGUCUAGCCUCCCGUACAUGCAUUCUUCCUCCACAGACGGUCUCAACGAGGUCAGUACAGUGAGUUUAGGGUUAGGGUUACAGAUUUGGGAUUUCUUGAUUUGGUUGAUUUUGGUAGGUUUUGAUUUGCCCAUUGUCUUUGUGCGAGCUUCUGCAGGUCCCUUUCAGCCUUGAAGAUCUAGAUUACAAGGGGCUUGAGCUGGAUGUGAUGUCUCCAUGUGAGAAGCACGGCAUGGCAUCUGAGAGGCUUGUUGCCUUUGAAGGAACAGACACAGGCAGACGGUUUUUAGCAUGUGCACAGCCGGUAUGGAUUGUAGGCAUAGUGAUUUUUUUUCUUACUUUGUCAGUGCCAUAUUGAACUCUGUUUGCUGGAGUACUCUCCUUGCUGUCAACAUUUUGGUUCAUAGUGGCAUUAGAGUAGCUUAUUUAGGUCAAGCAUGAGUAUAUUUUGCUGGAGUACAAUGGCAUAGUAAUUUUGGUUAAUAGUGGUACUAGAGUAGCUUAAAAAUGAUAACUAACCUAGGCAUAGUGAUUUUGUUUUUCUGUUUGCUGGAGCCAUAUUGAACUCUGUUUGCUGGAGUACUCUCCUUGCUGUCAACAUUCUGGUUCAUAGUGGCAUUAGAGUAGCUUAUUUAGGUCAACCAUGAGCCAUAUUGAACUGUGUUGGUGUUGUUGUUGUUUUUGCAGGCAGGUAGCAAUUGUGGCUUUGUUGAAUGGGUUGAUCACCAGUGGCCCCCAACAAUGCAGAAUGCAUUGUUGAAGCUAUGGGCAAUGGUUUAAGAUGCCAAAACUGCUAGGGUGAAUGACAAUCUUGAAAGUUCUUUCACUAUCCACCAUCUGACAGAAGAGAAGACCAAGCUGGAUGCCAACUAUGACAAGCUAGUUCAAGAUGUGCAUGAGCUGAUGAACUUCCAGGAAGAUAAGGUGGUGGAUUUCAGACAUCUGCAGUCUGCCAUUACAUAUCAGCAGGAGGUAAGAAAAGAUCUGAUUGAUGAUAUGAAGGCACAGAUGGCAAGUGAGAUGGCAAAGAAAGAUGAAGAGACCCAGAAACUUACUCUCAAGUAUGAGCUGCUGCUCAACCUGACAAGAGCUCAAGCAACAGUCAUUCAGAACUUGAAGCUGAACAAAAUGAAAGAGAAGCAAGUGCUUACUGAAGCUAGUAUGAAUUUGGAGCUGAAGAAUGCAGAGCUAACAAAGUGUCAGGAGAAGCUCACCCAAGAGAAGCUAGAGUUGAAGCUUCAGGUUGCUGAUCUGCUUAAGGGAAAUGAAAAGCAUAUUGAAGAGAAGUGGCAGUUAGAGUUUCAGAAUGAAAAGUUGAAGGAGAAGUUCAGGGGGAUUCAGGCCAUCUUGGAGAAGUGAAGAAGAUGAAAAUGAGAUUAGUGGCAUUGCUGACCUUUUGGGAAUGAUGGUUGUGUAAUGACCUAGCAUCUAGGAACUAAGGUUGUGUACUGUAUGCUUGUACUAAUGGUGAACUAUGGCUGUGUAUGUAUGUAGUAGUUAUGCUAUUCAUCCUUUUGUGAGAAAAGGAUGAACUAUGCAUUUGAAGUUGAACUCCUCUAUGUAUUGUGAACAAUGGUUAUGUAUGGCUAUAAUGAGUUGAACUCCAGAAACUAAUGUGAUCAGUUUCUUAUUAUGUAUGGAUAUGCUGAUUAUGUAGAAGGAUAUGUUGAUGAUGAUACAUUAUGACAAUGUUGCAGCAAACCACUCAUGUCAUACAAAAUAAAAGAGGAACAAGACUGACUAAAUCUCAUUGCAUCAGAAGAUAACUUCACUGAUCCAUUACAACUUGGCUUAAACUAGAGCAACUAAACCAGAUAGUACAUUGCAUUUAGAUUGGCUGCAACUAAACCAACUAACUAACUUAAUAUCUUGCCUGCAACUAACCCAAGCACAAAUAUAGUGAAAAGAAACAACACAUUGUGAAAUUUGGCCCUAAUCCCUACAAUCUCUGCAUUCUUCUCUCUGAGUUGAGUUUGCAGAGACAGAAACAUGGCCUCCCUUGUGCCAUCAUCUUCACUUGGAGUCAGCAUUGGAAAUUGAUCUUCCUCUCUAGCAACAGUUGCACCUUUAAGCCUCCAUACUUCAUCACGUAGAUCCCCAAUGAGCUCCCUCCAGAAUGUGGGCAAUGGAUCAUCAUGCCAUUGCACAAAUCCACAGCCACCGUGCUAUUAAGAUGCAGAAACAAAUUUCCAAAAAUAUAUCAUUUCACAUACUAUUGCACAGAAGAAAAAGGAAGGAAAUUAGGCAAAAAAACAACACUCACCAUAGCAUCCACGCAGCUAUAGUACCUCCUACCAGGGUUCUGCCUGCUCCAGGAGAUCCAUCUUGGCGCCUUCCUCGGAGGUGAGCAGUGGCGCAUCACUAGAGGCUCGUAUGCCAUUGGGAGCUCGCGGUAGCGCACCGGCGAGCGCGCCUCCUCCCCCCUCCUUCCUGCAGCUCGACGAAAUCCGGGAGCGGACCCGGCACUGGACGACCACGACAUCUCUCUCUCCACCGCCGGCCCCAGUCAGCGCCUCCACGCUGAGAUUUCUCCUUCUUCUCCUUUGCUGCGCUCCAAAUGGACACUGCGUGGACGAACCCUAGUUUCAUUCCCAAAUCUGAGAUCUUGUGUUGUCACUUUAAUAGUAGGAGAGGUACCUGUCCCACAUGUCAGAAUCCCCAAAUGUGGUACUGCAUGUUAUGUGAUGCCCCAAUAUUGGUACUGACAUGCAACAAAUAGCAGCAGUAUUGGUACUGACUUGAAAGAAGUAACUGAAAAUGUGUUACUGCUUUGCAAAUACUGGUACUCCACCUGAAGUUCAACAUUACAAUAACCACCUCAAGUUCCACAUUAAGAUAACCACCUCAAGUUCAACAUUACAAUAACCACCUCAAGUUCCACAUUCAGAUAACCACCUCAAGUGGCAACAACACAUCAACAUGAGCAUCAAGUUCAACCAAAAUAACACCACAUCAUUUCAAAUUACUUGGCUCCUCUUCCUCUGCUAGCAGUGAAGUAGGACAUCCAUCCAGUGUGUGUACCAUCAGUAGGAAUGUCAGCAUAUUGCCUGGGGGCACUGAAUGGCCUUGGAGCACCUCUUCCAGCUCCUCUUCCUCUGCCAGCUCCUCUUCCAGAUGGUGGUGGUGUAGUAGAAGUAGCAGCUCCUCUUCCUCUUCCUCUUCCAGAUGGUGGUGGUGUAGUAGAAGUAGCAGCUCCUCUUCCUCUUCCUCUUCCUCUUCCUCUUCCUCUUCCAGAUGGUGGUGGUGUAGUAGAAGUAGCAGCUCCUCUUCCUCUGGCAGCUCCUCUGGCAGCAGCUCUUGGCUGUCUUGCUGUUGUUGUAGUAGAAGGACCAGCAGCUCUUGGCUGUGAGUUACUUGGAGUAUCCUUACAAAGAAAAGGAAAACAGUUAAUAAUGCUAGAAAGAAAUGUACAAGAAAUAAAGGAAAGAUUUGUAUAUUUCAAGGUGAAAAAUUAUUACCACAUGCUUAUUCUUCCUCAAAGCUAGCUCAGGCUUCAACUGUUUAAGACAGUUUGUGUACCUAUGCCCUUGGAGACCACAAUUGCCACAUGUUAUGGUCCCCAUUCUUGAAGUGUCUUUUGGCUUUGGUACUUCAAAUUUGCCCUUGAUCCUCUUUUCUUUCUUUCUUCCUCUCUUGAUUUUGAAUGCAGGUGGUUCUAUGUCUGGACCAGGGGUCCUUGUCCAAUCAUGCUCACCAGGCACAGGAAAGAUCAUUGGUUCAUAAGCUGCAGCAUAAAAAUCUUUCUUGAAGAAUUUGCUGACAUAAUCCUCUGGUUUCCUAUUAGCCUUGUUUAUUGCAGAGAUGGCAUGGUUGCAAGGUAUGCCACUAAGGUCCCACUUCCUGCAUCCACAAGUCUCAAGUUCCAGGUUGACAGCAUGUGUUUGCUGCCCACUUGUAACUUGCCAUAAGUUGACCCCUGCCUGUAUUGGCUUGCAAUAUCUGGCCCUCUCCUUCUCAACCUCUAGCUUCUCACUGUAAUGAGGUGUUAUAUCCCAUCUUGCUGCCUUUACACUCUCUCUGUUCCUAUGCCACCUCACCAUCUGCUUAUCUUUUAUCCCAUCACACAUUGUCCUUAUAGGUUUUCUCCUAACAUCUAGAAUGUACUUGUUGAACACCUCAGACAAGUUGUUCACUACCAAGUCAGUCUUGCAGUUUGUGUCAAAUGCAUGCCUUGCCCAUGUUUUUUUUGGUAUUGCAGUAAGCCACUCCCAAGCUUCCUCACUUUCAGAUCUAAGAUCAUUCAUUGCAAUAUUAAAUUUGUGUUCAUUGUAGGCAUAGCUAGAAUUAUCCAUGCACUUCUUAAGAUCUUCACCCCUAAACCCAGCAUUUUGGAAAUUUGCAUAUAAAUGCCUAAGGCAGAAUCUUUGGUUGCAAUUUGGAAAGACAGCAUUCAUUGCAUUCAAUAACCCCUGACACAAACAAUUUAACAAGUCUAAGCUACAAGGUAAAUAAAUAUGCACCAAUGAAACCCUUAGCUACUGUUAACACUUGUGCAAAACAAAAUGAAAUGUGCAAACACAUACCUUUUGUCUAUCUGACAUUAUAGUAUAAGGUCCAAACUUGCCCACUUCUCCACCUAGGCAAAUUUUCAGUUGGUGUAGAAACUAACACCAACUAGGUGUGUCCUCUUGUCCAACUAUGCCAAAUGCCAGUGGAUAUAUGUUGUUGUUGCCAUCUCUACCAGUGGCAGCAAGGAGUUGAGCUCCUGUAGUGAGCUUAAUGAAGCAUCCAUCAACACCUGCAUAAUCAACAUUUCCAAACAUUAAAUACAUUCAAGUGAUAUACAAUAUGGAGUACUCUACAAUAUGUAAAUGGUGCACAAGGUUCAGGAACUAACCAAUGAAUGGCCUACACCCAUUGAGAAACCCCUCCCUUGCUCCAUUCAGGCAAAAGAACAUGGCAUGGAAUCUUGGGCCUGGGUGGGGUAUUUUUGCAUUUGGUACUGGAGUAACAGUAGUGACUAUUACUCUACUCCCAGGGUUUGUAUCCAUGACAGUCUGAGCAUAGUCUUUAAGCCUAGGAUAUUGCUUCUUGUGAUCUCCUAAGACAGCUUCAAUAGCUAUGUUCUUUGCCCUAUAUGCCAUGCACUUGGGCACAUCUACACCAUAUUUUUCCAUGCAUGCAUCAAUUAUUGUCUGAAUACCAGUAGUUAUAUCAGAUCUGAAGAGAUGCUCAUAUUUCUGUGCUAGCCACUUAGCACUAACCCUGGUGGUCUCAAUGGUACUAGGGCGAGUGUGCUCUAGUCUCAUCUUCUUAAUUACAAAGGUUUUCUCCCCUUUUAUAACUGCUGCCACCAUAAAGAACUGGCAUUGUUUAUCUGGACACUGAACAAUUAUCCUCUGAUCUGAAUUCCUGUGAUACUUAAAAUUCCUGGCCUGAGUGAUGUGCAAAUUCAACAAAGCAUCUCUGAAUUGAUGCUGAUCCCUAAAACACAACUUCAUACACAGUUGCUCAUGUGGUUGCUCCAUUUUCUCAUUGUACCACUUCCUAGCAGGCCUUUUCUUUGCCCUACUCUUCCUUUUCUUUGGUAGGACAAAAGAGGCUGGCUCAAAACCAUCAUCAUCACUCUCCCUCAACAACCCCUUCUCUUCUUCAUCUGAUGAGGAUGGUCUGAAAUCAGGUUCAACCUCUGGUAGCUUACUAGAAUGUGACCUAGUUGUUGGUCCUCUUCUAACUGGUAGCUUCUGCUUCUUCUUCACAGGUUCAACUAUAGUUUCUUCUUCUUCUUCAAAAGUCCUAUCUUCCUCUACCUCAAAUGGUUCCUCAACUUCAGUGUCACCCUCAUAAUGCAGCAUUUCUUCCUCUUCUGAUUGCUCAUCAUCUGAUUCUUCCUCUUGUACUUCUAGCUCUCUCUGUCUCUUUCCCUCUUCCACCUCUACAUCUUCAUCAUCACCCAUGUAAUGAUGGUCAUUUCCAAUUUGAGCAUCCUCAUCAGAGGCAUUAGCAUCACUGUCCUCAUAUGCCUCAAAUCCUUGAUAUCCCUCUUCUUCGUCUUCCAAAACUGCUUUCAACUUGGCUGUUGCAUUCUUGCUUUCUUGUGUGCAAACACCAGCAGGAUGAGGUGUGCUAGAGUUGCUACAUUGACUCUCAAAAACUACUCCUUGCUGAUCAACAGCUAAGAUAGGAGGCUCACUCAGAUCGAAAACAACAGGCUCUUGGUACACCACAGUGGACAACUCUGGCAUUUCACAUUGCUGCAACUCAAAAUCAGUAACAGGGGUGGACAAGCCCUGACUAGCAAAUCAAGCACCAAUUUGUCCUGGAUCUUCCUCUUUAUCUUCUGUAAUUCUGCAUGACUGUCUACCAAAUCCAGCCCUUUCUCUCCUAAAGAUGGAUUUUCAAUGUGAAACAAACAAUCAUAUGCAUUAAAUCCUUGGGUUUCCAUCACUGCAACCAAAUUCAGAUAAGUAAUAUCUGAACCCCACAGCUUCAUCUCCAAUGGUUCUCUUGCAUCAAAAUGGAUCCUUACUUGCCAAAUGUCUUCAUCCAAACUACAGAACAAAUUAAAUUUCAUGUAUUCAUUAUAAUUACUCUUAAUUUGGAGAGCAACUGUACAGUACAGAACAAUUUAGAGUAACCUGUAAGUCUAAUAUUUACUAUUAACUCUACUAUUACAGAUGCUAUUUCAGCAUAGAACAAUGCUACUAAAGUAACCUGUAAGUCUAAUAUUUACAGUACAGAACAAUGUACUUUACUAUUUCAGCACAAUAGCAAAAUCAAGGAAAAAGACAAGGUCAUAAUCCCAAAUUGUUACUGUAAUUGAACUAAUUUGAGAGUGCAAUACACUGAGUUACUAGUUACUGUAAUUGUCCUAUACUAGUCACUACAAUUGGACAAACCCUAAUCCCCAACUGGAUAAACAAGAAGAUGAACAAACCCUAAAAAUCCCCAAUUGGAUAAACCAGAGCAGGAGGAGGACAAGGGUACUUACAGCACGCCGCCAAGUCCAUGCGUCAACUCAUGGCUGCUGCUAGGGUUCGCCACCCACUGCUGCGCCAACAGCAACCGCUGCUCCAUGCUGAGUAACAUCGACUCCUCCUCGUCGUCGGUCGAGUACGCGGAGCUGGAGUCGUCGCCGCCAUCGCCGUCGACGCCAGCCGUUCCGCUAGGAGGCCAGAACGACAUCUCACCGCCGCCGUGGACGCCCUCGCCGCCGCCUGCCGGAGUCGCCGACGCCAUAGACUAGGGUUCGAGCGAGUGAGGAGAGGAGGUGCGGCGGGGGCGAGCUGGUGCGACCGGACCGGGUUCGAACCGGCUCGUCCUAGUCAGCGCGCGGGCACGCGCCGAUUGGCCAGCGUGGCACCUGACGGGUGGGCCCGAGCUGUCGGAUCGAGCGUCAAUACGUAUAAAUACGCGUUUUAGCCUUAUUUGAAAAAACCUGGAGCAAUCAUGGUACUGACAUGCAAAGAUUAGCAAUCGUGGUACCAAUCUGCAUGUGAUGCCCGAAUUAUGGUACUUCUGUGCAAUUAACUCACUGAGACUCAAGCUCUGUUUUCAUUCAGGAUCGUCGUAUUUCUAUUUUUCCAGAAGAAAUAAGGUUUCUUUCUGUUGAGCACUGGUAUUGCUUGUGUUUCGGUUAUGUAAUUUUGGUAAUUAAGACCUAAGAUUUGCAGCCUUGGGGAUUAAAGAGAAAGUAACUUUUGCAGUGGAGUAGCAAUGACAGAUCCAAGACUCCCAGUGAGCUCUAAAAUGCAUCAGCUUUAUUUUUGGAAUCACAAGUUCUAAUCCAUACCAGUACCAUUAAAGUAGCACCACAAGUCCACAGAAGAUAUUAUUUACAAGAGUUGCCAGUCGAACACUACUUUCAUGGCACAGGUUCCUCUGACCUAAAUUACAACCAUUUAUCCACCAGAAUGAAAAAUACAAGGAGAUCAUUGUGUUUAAGAGCCCAAUGCUUAU